UUUUGUUUUAUUAUGCACUUUAUUGUUAUGGUUUUUUUUGACUAUUUUUCUAUUUUUACAUCUCUUUAUCUUAUUUUCUUUUUGUCUAUCUUCUUAUUAGUGUGCUCGAAAACAUUUACUUCAUUUAGAAUCUCCUACGAUUCUGGAUUUCAUUAUUUAGGCGAAAUCAUCCAAAUUCAGGGCAGUUUCAAUUCUCUUCCUCACUUAUGAUAUUUUGCUUAUUGUGUUUAUAAUUGUUUGUACAUUGAGGGCAAUGUACAUCUUAAGUGAGGGGAGGAUUUUAUAUGUUUAUGUGAUAUACUCCAUGAACUAUUUUUUGUGUUUAAGUAAU
rnacentral:lncRNA from 1 species